rnacentral:rRNA from 1 species
CCUACGGGGGGCAGCAGUAGGGAAUCUUCCACAAUGGGCGAAAGCCUGAUGGAGCAACGCCGCGUGGGUGAAGAAGGUCUUCGGAUCGUAAAACCCUGUUGUUAGAGAAGAAAGUGCGUGAGAGUAACUGUUCACGUUUCGACGGUAUCUAACCAGAAAGCCACGGCUAACUACGUGCCAGCAGCCGCGGUAAUACGUAGGUGGCAAGCGUUAUCCGGAUUUAUUGGGCGUAACGGGAACGCAGGCGGUCUUGUAAGUCUGAUGUGAAAGCCUUCGGCUUAACCGGGGUAGUGCAUUGGAAACUGGGAGACUGGAGUGCAGAAGAGGAGAGUGGAACUCCAUGUGUAGCGGUGAAAUGCGUAGAUAUAAGGAAGAACACCAGUGGCGAAAGCGGCUCUCUGGUCUGUAACUGACGCUGAGGUUCGAAAGCGUGGGUAGCAAACAGGAUUAGAUACCCGAGUAGUC